CAAGUACUCCCUCCGUCCGGAAUUACUUGUCAUCAAAAUGGAUGUGUCUAGAACUAAAAUACAUCUAGAUACAUCCAUUUCAAUGACAAGUAUUUUCGGGCUGAGGGAGUACAAG
rnacentral:pre_miRNA from 1 species